rnacentral:rRNA from 1 species
GAUGAACGCUGGCGGCGUGCUUAACACAUGCAAGUCGAACGGAAAGGCCAGUGCUUGCACUGGUGCUCGAGUGGCGAACGGGUGAGUAACACGUGGGUGAUCUGCCCUGCACUUUGGGAUAAGCCUGGGAAACUGGGUCUAAUACCAGAUAGGACCAUGCUUUGGAUGGUGUGGUGGAAAGUUUUUUCGGUGUGGGAUGAGCUUGCGGCCUAUCAGCUUGUUGGUGGGGUAAUGGCCUACCAAGGCGUCGACGGGUAGCCGGCCUGAGAGGGUGUACGGCCACAUUGGGACUGAGAUACGGCCCAGACUCCUACGGGGGGCAGCAGUGGGGAAUAUUGCACAAUGGGCGCGAGCCUGAUGCAGCGACGCCGCGUGGGGGAUGACGGCCUUCGGGUUGUAAACUCCUUUCGCACCUGAAGAAGCUUUUUGUGACGGUAGGUUGAGAAGAAGCACCGGCUAACUACGUG